rnacentral:rRNA from 1 species
AUUGAACGCUGGCGGCAUGCCUUACACAUGCAAGUCGAACGGCAGCACGGGUGCUUGCACCUGGUGGCGAGUGGCGAACGGGUGAGUAAUACAUCGGAACGUACCUUAUCGUGGGGGAUAACGCAGCGAAAGCUGUGCUAAUACCGCAUACGCCCUGAGGGGGAAAGCGGGGGAUCGCAAGACCUCGCGCGAUUAGAGCGGCCGAUGCCUGAUUAGCUUGUUGGUGGGGUAAAAGCCCACCAAGGCGACGAUCAGUAGCUGGUCUGAGAGGACGAUCAGCCACACUGGGACUGAGACAGGGCCCAGACUCCUACGGGAGGCAGCAGUGGGGAAUUUUGGACAAUGGGGGCAACCAUGAUCCAGCAAUGCCGCGUGAGUGAAGAAGGCCUACGGGUUGUAAAGCUCUUUUGUCAGGGAAGAAACACCGGCUCUAACGCAGUCCGGGAAUGACGGUACCUGAAGAAUAAGCACCGGCUAACUACGUGCCAGCAGCCGCAGUAA